GAGCAGGUGCUGGUGGCCCGCAGGGUGGGGAUCCCCACGGCGCGCGGCGUCCCCCGGACGGCCGCAGCAUCGGAGACGUGUGCGCGGGCGCGGCCACGAGUGCGGCCAGGCCGCGGUUCAGUUCCUGCUCAAGGUUUGCAGACUCUGAAGGUGACUGUGGACGUGUACGGGAAGCGAAAGUGGGCGGCCGGCGGUGGAGGCCCUGGCGACCUCUUUAACUAAUGUGCCGUAGUAUUUUUUUUAGAUAGUUGAAUGUUGAAUCUCUCAUGUUGUAUCUGUUGAAUCUCUCCUGUAAUUUUGGGUCUUUGUGAUUUUGGCUUGAAUGUUGUAAACUUGUAAUCUAAGUGAAGCUUUUCUGGCUCCUCACC